UAUUUCAUAUUUUUGUAUUAAUGCAACCAAAAUUAUGGAUCCAUCCAUCAAUCAACACCCUUCGGACCCGUUAGAAGAAGGAACAAAUCUUGUGAAAACCAUCAUAACGAUAGCCCUGGUAGCAUCUAACUGUAGCAACAUACCGAGCGGCAAGGUUGAAAUCGCUCGAUCAUACCUGGAACGGCUUCACGCCGCAGCGAUAAACAAGGGCGAAACGGUGCCCAAUGUGGAAAGGAUGCUGCUGUACCUGAAUUCACACAUGGAGCAGCUACCGGCGGUACGAGCACAUGGGCAAACCACGAACAACACGGAAAACACACAAAAUCUACACCAGUCGUAAAACGGUUAGUGACGUCAUUUAUGGAAAAUUUAUGUGUAUGCGUAUACCGGACACUGGCCGUUGUGUUAAUCAUUUUUAACACACACACACACUGCACAACAAUAGUCACCUCGUUCGGAAUUAAUGGCGGAUGAUGCUCCAAGCCACUGAUCUUGACCUGGCAUGAUGAAUGGGAGGAAAACCGGACGUCAAACCAAAAAGGUCAAAUGUGAAAUGGGCCAAAGCGUUGGAAGAGAAACUAUGUACCGCCACACGAUACUCCAACCAUGUUAUGCUUACCAUAAUGUUCUGUUCGAUAAUGCUGGGAUCGUCACAGACCGACUCGACGAAAAAGAGCUUAUAGCCCAUCUUUUUUACCACAAUUUCGCGUAUCAUCUGACGCCGGUCGCGGGUAGAAUUUGUAGCAUCAAACACCUAAAAUAAACGAAAGAGUGAAACAUGAAUAUUCAUUCAAAAUUAUUGCUGAGGGAAUAAAAUCGAAAGCGUACAGUAUAA